rnacentral:rRNA from 1 species
CCUACGGGUGGCAGCAGUAGGGAAUAUUGCUCAAUGGGGGAAACCCUGAAGCAGCAACGCCGCGUGGAGGAUGAAGGUUUUCGGAUUGUAAACUCCUUUUGUUAGAGAAGAUAAUGACGGUAUCUAACGAAUAAGCACCGGCUAACUCCGUGCCAGCAGCCGCGGUAAUACGGAGGGUGCAAGCGUUACUCGGAAUCAAUGGGCGUAAAGAGCGCGUAGGCGGGAUAGCAAGUCAGAUGUGAAAUCCUAUGGCUUAACCAUCGAACUGCAUUUGAAACUGUCAUUCUAGAGUAUGGGAGAGGUAGGUGGAAUUCUUGGUGUAGGGGUAAAAUGCGUAGAGAUAAAGAGGAAUACUGAUGGCGAAGGCGACCUGCUAGAACAUAACUGACGCUGAUGCGCGAAAGCGUGGGGAGCAAACAGGAUUAGAUACCCUUGUAGUC